UUACGACGAAUUUACGAGGAAUAUUGCUCUCCUGAAAAAAAUAAAUUUUCUUGCGGUGAUGGAACGUUACCGAAUGCAGAGUGAAGAACAUAUUCCAUGCAAUGUGUUUCUUUCAUCAACCGGUCCGGUUAUUUUCAAACCGGUGGAGAAUCAAUCAAGUUUUAAACAAAUUAUUAUCAUACCCGAAUAUUUCGGUUACCGGGAGAUCCGGGCUACCCUCUCUCUUGUCGGGACAUCGCAUGAAGAAGUUGAGUUAGGCGUUGACUUUAUUAUUUCACUCACACUGGCUAGUGACAUAACAAGAGAUCAAUGACUAUCGACGAUCAAUCACACUUGAAGAAAGAGGGAGAAAAUAGUACGAAUCCUAAGAUCAAUAGGUACUGGAUUCAACGUUACGAUCUGUUCUCGAGGUAUGACGAAGGUAUCCAAAUAGAUGAAGAAGGAUGGUACUCUGUGACUCAUGAAGAGAUCGCCAUCAAACACGCAGAGAGGUGCCGUGGAAAAGUGGUGAUUGAUUGCUUCGCAGGCGUUGGUGGUAACACUAUUCAAUUUGCUAAAGUUUCUUCUUCUGUAAUCGCUAUCGACAUUGAUCCAAUGAAAGUUCAAAUGGCUAUGAACAAUGCAAACGUCUAUGGAGUUGCUAAUCAUGUGGAUUUUGUCGUUGGUGAUUUCUUCAGUUUAGCUCCAUCUCUCAAAGGAGAUGUAUCGUUUCUUGCGCCACCAUGGGGAGGACCAAAUUAUUGCAAAGUCGAGAGUUUCAAGAUGGAUAUGCUUCAGCCAAGAGACGGGUACUCAUUGUUUAAGAUUGUUCAGUCCAUUACUCCUAAUAUCAUCAUGUAUCUACCGAAAAAUGUUGAUUUAGCACAGUUGGAAGAACUGGCUUCCCUCUCGUCACCUCCCCUAACUCUUGAGAUAGAAGAAAGUUGUAUUGGAGGCAAAAUGAUAGCCAUAACGGCUUAUUUUAGUCGCAAUGCGGCUUAGCUGAGAAAUUUGAACUUGCAUCAAAAAGGAACUAUCUUUUCUGCAGCAGGGGAUAGAUGAAUUGACUCCUGAAGGAGAUUCUAUCACAUGGAUAUUUGAUACAAAUUCAAUGCAUCAUUCGUAGAAAAUAAAGAAUUCACUCUCCUUUCCCGUUAGUUUAUUCGGUUAGACUCCGUUGAUAUCGACUGUAAAAAAGUCGAGCACUGAUGAGUGAUGACAAAAUUUAUGGUACAAACAAACAAACCCAUUUGAAAAGUUCAAAAGCCCUACCCGCUCCCUUGCAGACAACCUAAUCUCAAUCUUGUUUUCACUGGUAUCCGACCGCUGUGUCGGUGCCGGUGUGACCUCUUUCUCUUUACUUUUGUGUAUUGCUUUGGUUUUUCUCUGGAGACUCUUCUCCAUCUCAUGUCUACAUGUUUGCUUGCUCUGUUGUCUCGGUGACGACGUCUCUGUUCGACUGUUCGGAAUGGAGGCGUUCGAAGGGCAGGUAGUGGAGUAACGACAAGACAUGUGUGAAGGCGUUGGCAGCUCCAGAUCUUUGUCUUUUUUUGCUCACUGGAUUUGGAGUGUGUAGAUCCAUCCGGCUUUCGUUCUCAUUGGUUGGUUUGGAUCAAUAACCAGUACUUGCUUCAAGGGCCUUGUUGAUUUGUUUACUAUCGAAUCACCUCUCGAUCGUGGGUUUGGCGAGUAAGAGAAGCUUUGUUCUUCGGUUCUCGUUGACGAAUCGCGUAUUAAUCACCGGCUCUGUUGGACCAUCCCAGCAUCAUCGUUUGGGCUGUGUCCUUCUCGUUGAUGGGUCAAAAUCUUUUGCUUCUCUUUUGCAUGUAUCAGUGUGGCAGAGACGUCUCGUCUGUCAUUUGCUUUGUUUGCGUGGCUCUUGGAAUCAGAGAUAGGGGAGACAUGACAUCCGUUCUUCCAAGUCGUUAGUUUCAACGUUCCUUGCCGUUUGAUUCAUUUUAUUGGAAGUUAAGAAUCUAUUAAAAUAGAUUCCUAUUUAAAAUUUGUCCUUGGUACACAAUAUUUGGUCCACUUAAUACACUAUUUAUUCCAAUGGAUUAAUUCUCUGUUCAAA